AACUCAAAGGAAUUGACGGGGGCCCGCACAAGCGGUGGAGCAUGUGGUUUAAUUCGAUGAUACGCGAGGAACCUUACCUGGGCUUAAAUGGGGAGUGACAGCUGUCGAAAGAUGGUUUUCUUCGGACACUCUUCAAGGUGCUGCAUGGUUGUCGUCAGCUCGUGCCGUGAGGUGUCGGGUUAAGUCCCAUAACGAGCGCAACCCUUACCGUUAGUUACCAUCAGGUUAAGCUGGGGACUCUAGCGGGACUGCCACCGUAAGGUGAGAGGAAGGUGGGGAUGACGUCAAAUCAGCACGGCCCUUAUGUCCAGGGCUACACACGUGUUACAAUGGCCGGUACAAAGGGCAGCUACUUCGCGAGAAGAUGCUAAUCUCGAAAGCCGGUCUCAGUUCGGAUCGAAGUCUGCAACCCGACUUCGUGAAGCUGGAUUCGCUAGUAAUCGCGCAUCAGCCAUGGCGCGGUGAAUACGUUCCCGGGCCUU
rnacentral:rRNA from 1 species